rnacentral:rRNA from 1 species
AGGGUUUGAUCAUGGCUCAGGACGAACGCUGGCGGCGUGCCUAACACAUGCAAGUCGAACGGAGUGCUUCGCUGAAACGAGAUUAGCUUGCUAAAGGAAUUUCUUGAAGCACUUAGUGGCGGACGGGUGAGUAACGCGUGAGCAACCUGCCUUACAGAGGGGGACAACAGCCGGAAACGGCUGCUAAUACCGCAUAAAGUAUCAGGAAGGCAUCUUCCAGAUACCAAAGGAGCAAUCCGCUGUAAGAUGGGCUCGCGUCCGAUUAGAUAGUAGGCGGGGUAACGGCCCACCUAGUCAACGAUCGGUAGCCGGACUGAGAGGUUGAACGGCCACAUUGGGACUGAGACACGGCCCAG